AACAUGGUCCAGAAUCCCAUUGACCCAAUUUGAUUUAACGAAAUUGCCCAUGGAAAUAAGUACAUUGCUUCUAAAUCAAAAAUAAUGAACAGAAUUGCAACUAAAUAAAAUCGAACAUCAAACGCUUGUCGAGCGUCUUCGUAGGGAUCGAAACCACAUUCGUAAGGCGAAAGUUUUUCGGUGUCGGGUUUGUGAAUUGCUAACACGUACGACAACCCAAAAAUUACGCCUGAAAGAACAAUACUGAUCCCUAAAAAAAUCAAUACUGGUGAAUAUUCCUGAAUAAAUAAAGAGUUCAUAAUAAUAGUAUUAUUUCUCAAAUCCUUUCAACAUGGAUGCUAAAAGGUUUUAGUUUGCAACGGUAAGAUUUGCGCUUACGCCUUUCGGCCAACUCUAGUGUUCGUUGCCGGUAAAACGACCACAAAGGUCAUUACUAAUAUUAAGGUAAAAAACUUUGAAAACCCAUCCCAUUUUGAUUUGCAAGAGGGCAGUACGAAACCUAUCAAAAAUCGCUCUAACUUAAGGUAAAAAGGUCGAAAAACGCACGGUUCGACACAUAUUUAAAAAGGAUUAGAGCGUACCUGAAAUUUUUGAAUUUAGAUCCACGCGGUAAGCAAGUUCCAAAGAUCCAACUGCGGUUCUAAGACGCAAUUAAAGUCACCGUCUUUGGGGCUUCCUUUUUGGACUUCUACAGUUGGAGUUUUUGGAGUAGGUAAAUUAGUAGCGGGCGAGGACUUGGGUUGAA
rnacentral:rRNA from 1 species